rnacentral:rRNA from 1 species
AAUUGUUCGCAAUGGGCGCAAGCCUGACGACGCAACGCCGCGUGGAGGAUGAAGAUCUUCGGGUCGUAAACUCCUGUCGAAUGGGACGAAUGGAUCGCGGGUGAAUACCCUGCGAUCGUGACGGUACUGUUAAAGGAAACCCCGGCUAACUCCGUGCCGGCAGCCGCGGUAAUACGGGGGGGGUAAGCGUUGUUCGGAUUUAUUGGGUUUAAAGGGUGCGUAGGCGGCUAUUUAAGUCAGUGGUGAAAUCCUGCAGCUCAACUGUAGAACAGCCAUUGAUACUGAAUAGCUUGAGUACAGACGAGGUAGGCGGAAUAUAUGGUGUAGCGGUGAAAUGCAUAGAUACCAUAAAGAACCCCUAUUGCGAAGGCAGCUUACUAGGCUGUAACUGACGCUGAGGCACGAAAGCGUGGGGAUCAAAC